rnacentral:rRNA from 1 species
GACGAACGCUGGCGGCGUGCUUAACACAUGCAAGUCGAGCGGAAAGGCCCUGCUUUUGUGGGGUGCUCGAGUGGCGAACGGGUGAGUAACACGUGAGUAACCUGCCCUUGACUUUGGGAUAACUUCAGGAAACUGGGGCUAAUACCGGAUAGGAGCUCCUGCUGCAUGGUGGGGGUUGGAAAGUUUCGGCGGUUGGGGAUGGACUCGCGGCUUAUCAGCUUGUUGGUGGGGUAGUGGCUUACCAAGGCUUUGACGGGUAGCCGGCCUGGGAGGGUGACCGGCCACAUUGGGACUGAGAUACGGCCCAGACUCCUACGGGAGGCAGCAGUGGGGAAUAUUGCACAAUGGGCGGAAGCCUGAUGCAGCAACGCCGCGUGCGGGAUGACGGCCUUCGGGUUGUAAACCGCUUUCGCCUGUGACGAAGCGUGAGUGACGGUAAUGGGUAAAGAAGCACCGGCUAACUACGUG